rnacentral:rRNA from 1 species
GACGAACGCUGGCGGCGUGCCUAAUACAUGCAAGUAGAACGCUGAAGGAAGGAGCUUGCUCUUUCUGGAUGAGUUGCGAACGGGUGAGUAACGCGUAGGUAACCUGCCUGGUAGCGGGGGAUAACUAUUGGAAACGAUAGCUAAUACCGCAUAAAAUUGAUUAUUGCAUGAUAGUCAAUUAAAAGGUGCAACUGCACCACUACCAGAUGGACCUGCGUUGUAUUAGCUAGUUGGUGGGGUAACGGCUCACCAAGGCGACGAUACAUAGCCGACCUGAGAGGGUGAUCGGCCACACUGGGACUGAGACACGGCCCAGACGCCUACGGGAGGCAGCAGUAGGGAAUCUUCGGCAAUGGACGGAAGUCUGACCGAGCAACGCCGCGUGAGUGAAGAAGGUUGUCGGAUCGGAAAGCUCUGUUGUAAGAGAAGAACGAGUGUGAGAGUGGAAAGUUCACACUGUGACGGUAUCUUACCAGAAAGGGACGGCUAACUACGUG